CAAUAGCGUGUAUUUAAGUUGCUGCAGUUAAAAAGCUCGUAGUUGGAUUUCGGGUGGGAAUGGCCGGUCCGCCGUUUCGGUGUGCACUUGCUACGCCCACCUUGCUGCCGGGGACGUGCUCUUGAGUUCACGCUCGGGACACGGAGUCGGCGAGGUUACUUUGAGUAAAUUAGAGUGUUCAAAGCAGGCCUACGCUCUGAAUACAUUAGCAUGGAAUAACACGAUAGGACUCUGGCCUAUCUUGUUGGUCUGUAGGACCGGAGUAAUGAUUAAGAGGGACAGUCGGGGACAUUCGUAUUUCAUUGUCAGAGGUGAAAUUCUUGGACUUAUGAAAGACGAACUACUGCGAAAGCAUUUGCCAAGGAUGUUUUCAUUAA
rnacentral:rRNA from 1 species